GGAACGCCCAAGCUAGAGUGCAGGAGAGGAAGGUGAAUUUCCCGGUGUAGCGGUGAAAUGCGUAGAGAUCGGGAGGAAUACCAGUGGCGAAGGCGGCCUUCUGGCCUGACACUGACACUGAGGUGCGAAAGCGUGGGUAGCAAACAGGAUUAGAUACCCUGGUAGUCCACGCCGUAAACGAUGUCGACUAGCCGUUGGGACCUUUAAGGACUUAGUGGCGCAGUUAACGCGAUAAGUCGACCGCCUGGGGAGUACGGCCGCAAGGUUAAAACUCAAAUGAAUUGACGGGGGCCCGCACAAGCGGUGGAGCAUGUGGUUUAAUUCGAUGCAACGCGAAGAACCUUACCUACCCUUGACAUCCUGCGAACCCGGAAGAGAUUCCGGGGUGCCUUCGGGAACGCAGUGACAGGUGCUGCAUGGCUGUCGUCAGCUCGUGUUGUGAAAUGUUGGGUUAAGUCCCGUAACGAGCGCAACCCUUGUCCUUAUUUGCCAGCGAUUCGGUCGGGAACUCUAAGGAGACUGCCGGUGACAAACCGGAGGAAGGUGGGGACGACGUCAAGUCAUCAUGGCCCUUACGGGUAGGGCUACACACGUGCUACAAUGGCCGGUACAAAGGGUUGCGAGACCGCGAGGUGGAGCGAAUCCCAUAAAGCCGGCCUCAGUCCGGAUCGGAGUCUGCAACUCGACUCCGUGAAGUCGGAAUCGCUAGUAAUCGUGAAUCAGAAUGUCACGGUGAAUACGUUCCCGGGCCUUGUACACACCGCCCGUCACACCAUGGGAGUGGACUGCACCAGAAGUGGUUAGCUUAACCUUCGGGAGAGCGAUCACCACGGUGUGGUUCAUGACUGGGGUGAAGUCGUAACAAGGUAACC
rnacentral:rRNA from 1 species